AAGGUCAUACUUCUCAGAAUCAUUUCUGUAGUGUGUUUUUCUUCGCUGUUAGCGAAAAUGCGAGGGAGCGCGACCGCGAUGAUGUGGCAUGGCGUCACCUCCAGAGCGGGUUGAAGUCUCUUGUCCUUACUUUCAGGGUCUUGGAUGCUAUGCUUGAUGACUGCAGGAAGAACCCUGAAGAGGGUUUAUCCUAAGGAGUUGACGCUUGCUGAGCGGU
rnacentral:snoRNA from 1 species